rnacentral:rRNA from 1 species
GACGAACGCUGGCGGCGUGCUUAACACAUGCAAGUCGAACGGAAAGGCCCUGCUUUUGUGGGGUGCUCGAGUGGCGAACGGGUGAGUAACACGUGAGUAACCUGCCCUUGACUUUGGGAUAACUUCAGGAAACUGGGGCUAAUACCGGAUAGGAGCUCCUGCUGCAUGGUGGGGGUUGGAAAGUUUCGGCGGUUGGGGAUGGACUCGCGGCUUAUCAGCUUGUUGGUGGGGUAGUGGCUUACCAAGGCUUUGACGGGUAGCCGGCCUGAGAGGGUGACCGGCCACAUUGGGACUGAGAUACGGCCCAGACUCCUACGGGAGGCAGCAGUGGGGAAUAUUGCACAAGGGGCGGAAGCCUGAGGCAGCAACGCCGCGUGCGGGAUGACGGCCUUCGGGUUGGAAACCGCUUUCGCCUGUGACGAAGCGUGAGUGACGGUAAUGGGGAAAGAAGCACCGGCUAACUACGU